rnacentral:lncRNA from 1 species
GUAAGAGCCAAAAGGUGGAAACACCCCAAGUGUCCAUUGAAAACUGAAUGGAUAAAUAUGCUAUACGCAGGCAAUGGAAUAUUUAGCCAUAAAAGGAGUCUAGUUCUGAUACAUGCUACAACAUGCAUGGACCUUAAAAAUGUUCUGCAAAGUGAAGUAUGCAGACAGUGAAUCAAAACACAGGUCCCUGUGCUCAUGGAGCUACCACAUUUAAGGAUAAGAAAGAAAUAUCAAACACAAAGGACUAUGGUAGGCUUGAGGAUCUGAAAGUUGAACUGGACUGGGGAUGUUUGGGCAAUAUCAUCAAAUUUACAUUUAAAAUGGCUGCUAAGGGGCCAGUCAGUGGUUAUUGUAGAAAAUCUGAAUGUUUAUCUCCCAGGAAUAAUUUUGGACAGUAAGCAACAUUAGUAUAAGUUUUCAACAUUUAAAGUCAAUAGAUCAACUACUGCAGAUAAAACUGAAGACAAGUCUUCUGUAAACUUGCAAUAAAGCAAUGGAUUAAAUUCUGGGAUUUAAAUCUUCUGAAUAGUGUUUCCUCUCUCAAAGUGAUCCAUAAGUAACGUGUUUAUAUGUCAGUCUAUUUUAGAAUCCGGAAUAAGUAGAAAGUCAAAUAAAAUUUAUUAUCACUGAUGACUUUUUAUGGAAACUCUAUACCCUCAAAAAUUUAAAAUCUUAAUUAAAAGUACAGUGAAGACUUAAUUGUAGAAGCAAAUGAAGGUAAGAAUUGCCGUAUCAGUGAACUUAGUAUUUGUCUCAUGGUUCUCCUACCAUUUUUGUACCCUAAAGGUUCACACUUAGAUGACAUACCACCCUCAGAGCAGUGGAGACUUGAUGGGCUACUUAAUCUAGACCUAAUCCACCUUGAAAAUCUGCUCCCACUCAUCACUCAGAAGCCACUUCCACCUAUCCCUAAAUUCUCAGAAGAAUCCUGAGUCAUGAGAGAAAUUCUAAAGAGCCAGUGAAGGAUCUUUAUAGGCUCAAAAGGAGUCCUGGGGAGAUACUCAUUCUGUUUCUGAACUUCUUUGAGCAUAUCAGAUCAGAAAUAUCUAGGCCUUAAUGAAGUCAUGUCUUUCGCAGUGACAUGGAUGGAUCACCCUAAGUGAAACAAUUCAGAAACAGAAAAUCAAAUAUCACAUGUUCACUCAUAAGUGAAAGCUAAACAGUGGGUAAACAUGGACAUACAAAGGGAAAGAACAGACUCCCGGGACUCCAAAAGGGAGAGGGUAGUAGGAGGGUGAAAGGUGGAAAAUUACCUAUUGACUAUAAUGGCCACUACUAAGGUGAUGGGUACACUAGAAGCCAUUAUGCAACUAAAGACAAAUGGCCUCUACUCAAGGUUAUCUCUCAAACUGUAGUGAAAAACAGAAAGGAAAAAUUCCAGGUUCAAACAAAAAGCUGAUCACAGGUGACUUUUUAAGUGGUAUUAUGAACUGUUCUUGUGGCUCAAGGUCUUACCUGGGUGCCUGUUUUAAGGAAAUUCAUAAAGUAAGACUGGAAAAGAGUAAGAAAACUUUUAAAAUGUCAUGGAAUCACUGUAAAAUAUGCCACUAUUUGGCAUUAGCCAAACAAUGUACUCAUGAUACUUAAUAUUUUGUAAAUUUCUAUAGUAUAGUUUAAAUGGAAAAAAAAGUUCUAAUUGUUGUUUUGCUUCCUGGACUCUUGCUUUUUGGAAAGUGUCUCACUGGAGAUCAAAAUGUACUCCUGCUGGGAGAAUAAGUAUUUUAGUGACCAAGUUCUAUGUGGCUUCAGUCAAAGCAUCUCAAUGUGUGGUGUGUGUAUCUACAUAGAGAUAGAUAUACUAUUAUCAAUUUCUCAGACUAUAUUUUGAAAUUGCCAGUUUCAAGCCUAGAAUUACUCAAAUGUCAAAUUGAGUCUUCCGAUUUAAGUAUUUUAGGCAUAUUUAAUAAAUAACUUCAGUAAAUAGCACUGUAAAAAGUGAACUGUUA